GAUGAACGCUGGCGGCGUGCCUAAUACAUGCAAGUCGAGCGAACAGACGAGGAGCUUGCUCCUCUGACGUUAGCGGCGGACGGGUGAGUAACACGUGGAUAACCUACCUAUAAGACUGGGAUAACUUCGGGAAACCGGAGCUAAUACCGGAUAAUAUAUUGAACCGCAUGGUUCAAUAGUGAAAGACGGUGUUGCUGUCACUUAUAGAUGGUUCCGCGCCGCAUCAGCUAGUUGGUAAGGUAACGGCUUACCAAGGCAACGAUGCGUAGCCGACCUGAGAGGGUGAUCGGCCACACUGGAACUGAGACACGGUCCAGACUCCUACGGGAGGCAGCAGUAGGGAAUCUUCCGCAAUGGGCGAAAGCCUGACGGAGCAACGCCGCGUGAGUGAUGAAGGUCUUCGGAUCGUAAAACUCUGUUAUUAGGGAAGAACAAAUGUGUAAGUAACUAUGCACGUCUUGACGGUACCUAAUCAGAAAGCCACGGCUAACUACGUGCCAGCAGCCGCCGUAA
rnacentral:rRNA from 1 species